rnacentral:rRNA from 1 species
UACGUAGGGUCCGAGCGUUGUCCGGAAUUACUGGGCGUAAAGAGCUCGUAGGUGGUUUGUCGCGUUGUUCGUGAAAACUCACAGCUCAACUGUGGGCGUGCGGCGAUACGGGCAGACUGGAGUACUGCAGGGGAGACUGGAAUUCCUGGUGUAGCGGUGGAAUGCGCAGAUAUCAGGAGGAACACCGGUGGCGAAGGCGGAUCUCUGGGCCAUUACUGACGCUGGAGGAAGCGAAAGCGUGGGGAGCGAACAGG